GAGUUUCCUAGGCAAAGGAGCAGGAGUGAGAUGUACUUGGAUGAAAGAAAUGCAACUGUACAGUUUGAACCCAACGCAAGACUCAAGUAUCCUCUCUCCUAAUUAGCAAAGGAACACGAUAAGUGUGACCGGAGCUGUGUGUGGCCAGAGUUUUUCAGAGUUUUUCCUGAUCUGACCCCAGGAAUUGCUCCUUUUUCUUUUUUCCCCAGAAAUAUAGAAAGAUGGAGACAUAAAAAAAAAAAAAAAAAAAAAAAGAACGUAUUAGCUAUUUUUAUCACUCAAGCCAUUUUGGUCAAAACUGACUUUUUAGAGAUGAAAGCCCAGCAAUCUAGAUACAGAUGGAUAAGAAAAAGGCUAUUUCUUCUCCCACAGCAAUUCUUUAUGUCUUGAGAUGUCAACAACCUUAUUGUGCCUACUGGGGAUGAAGUGGUGUUGUGAAAUAAGAGGGAAAAAGAGUUCCUCCAAAGAGCCACAGCCUUAUGGUUGAGGCACUGAACUGAGAUCUGCAGGUAUAUCUACCCACAGUGAAGAGAAAAGAUUCACCUCAAGUUACAAGUUUGAAUGGUUCAGAAGUAAAUUACCACAAAAAUGCAGAUGGAACCUGUAAUACUUGCCUCCACAUCAUUCAUCCAGCGGUUUGGGAGCCGCAGAUCAGCGUGUGAAAGACAGCAGUUAAAAUACAGGGCCCAUUCCUAUCUCCUCUGCUAUGCACUGGUGUAAAUCAAGCCUAAGACUCAUGAACCCAAUGGAGUGUAAAAUUGGUGUGAGUGAGAAUCAGUGCCAUCUCCUGUACCUAUAUGUCAGAUAAAAUGUUUGUUUCAAGUGUUUAUAGACACUGUUAUCAUAAAUAGCUUAUUUUCUUAUACAUUAAAUAGAUCAAAAGAAACCAGAGUAAUUUUCUAACACGACUAAAAUAAACGCAUAUAUUUAUUGCCAUGUCACUUGCAGGAGUCACGCUCUCAUUGAAUCUAAGUAAGAAACCAGUGAUUGAUUUUUAUUUUUUUUCUUGUUUUAAUAAAAGGAAUCACAGCACU
rnacentral:lncRNA from 7 species